rnacentral:tRNA from 1 species
GUAAACUCCUCUUAUCA